CUCUUCCACCCCCCAUCCUUUCAAGCAGUUCAAAAAGUGCUUUGCUUUCUUGUCCUCAGGACUCUCAGCUAAAGCUUGCCCUAGUGCAGAGUAUCACUGAGGUCAGCUGCACCAUCCGGACUGUGGGUGACUGCCCCAGUUUUGGGCUCUUGUUGAAGCUGGAGGCCCUGAGGACACUGCUGGACUGGAUAAAGGAGGAGCCCUGGGACGUGGCAGUAUACCCCGUGCUUUUGUCCUUGGAGCAGCUGAGGUAAGGUCUGUGCCCCACACCCAGUGUGUUGUGUCCCAAAGCAGCCAACUGAUGUGGCCCUGGUGGCCUUGACUCUGAGGCUGGGAGAGGCUGCAGUUCUCAUGUGGCAUGGUGUUCUCCAUGUUGGCCUUGGAGGAAGGCCCUGACUCUCCAUCAGGGCAGGGCCCCAUAUGGAGCAGACUUGGGUCUGCUUAACCUGGGGUGCGGGGAGGAGAGUCUUCUUGCCUGCUUGCCAGCGUGGGCUCAGAGUGUUGAGUUUGAGGUUCCACAUUGUGACAAACCCAGUUAUAGUUUGAGCCACUCUGGAGAGUACUGCUAUUAAAUCCACUUGCUGUUUUCUAUUCCCUUUUCCUUUGGCCAGCAAAGUGAAGCCAUCUCUGAGCAGAGAGGAGAAUUGCCGCCUGCUGUCUGAGUGCUGCCAAAGCGUCUUCUCCCAUCCAUCCAUUGAAGAGAUAAAAGCAAGACAGAGGCCAGAGGCAGUGAGAACAUCAAGGUACCUGCUGUCCUAUCCCUUCCAAUGUCCCAGUUGGGCAUGGCAGCGCACCGUGCAAGAAAACCUCAGUCAUCCUUUCCUGCUUUCAGCUCCUGCACACAUCAUGCUUGGAGGCUCUGGGCCAGCUUAUGAUAACACUUCUUGAGCACUUUUGAGGACAUAGUCUGUACCAUCUGCAGAUGCUUCCCCUCAGCUCAGGGCACAGAUUUCAGGAGCGCGCUUGCAGAAAGCCUGCUGCGUCACACAGACCGGCAUGCAUGGGCUGCUGGGAUGUGGAUGACAGCAUUUCUGGAAAACGGUGGAAAGCAGCUAACUUCUCUGGAGGUGCCACAAGUCCUGGGCAUUCUUUAUACCAGCCUGCAGGCCGUGUCACAGAGCAUCCACAGGGUCCAAGGGCUG
rnacentral:lncRNA from 1 species